AUCAUCACGAUCAUUUGUAUUGAAGUGACGUACUAAUACACUAAACAAAGAAAAACAUGAUAAUUAGUGUGUGAGAUAGAUUACUUUGGGAGUGUUGAUUAAUGAUCCAUCUUAUACCUAAAACGAAAUAAUUGUUGACAGUUAAUUCGGGUAACUGUUAGUUUGUUACAUUUUUUGUAUUUUUUUUUCUUUUAGUUCAAGUUGUAUAAAUAGUGUGUGUCCUAUUCUUUGUAUUUUAAGAUUAGCCUUGCCAAAAUUCUUAUCUCUCUCUCUCUCUCUCUCUCUCUCUCUCUCUCUCUCUCUCUCUCUCUCUCUCUCUCUCUCUCUCUCUCUCUCUCUCUCUCUCAAUGUAAUUACUCCACCUAUCAUUAAAACAACACAAUUAAUUCAACUUGUUCUUGCUGGUUCUUUUAGUCAUUGUUCUCGAUCAUUACUAGUAAUUAGCAGUUUUCUGGUUUCAUUGCUAUAACAUUCCUGCUGUUGCUGUUGUUCAUGUGCUAUAUAUGGUCCUUGAGCACUCGAUCUUGAUUGUCUAGAGGUGAAGUUCGAUCACAACAAGUGGUAUCAGAGCAAGGUUUUAGCUCAAUCAAGAUUCAAAUUCGAAGGGCCUAAGAAUCAUCAAGAAGAUGGCUGCAGCAAGAUUUGAGAUUGACAAGUUCAAUGGAACUAAUGACUUCGGGUUAUGGAGGAUCAAGAUGAAGGCAUUGCUUGUCCAAAAUGGAAUUUCAAAAGCAAUUGAUGAAGAGAGUCUAAAGGAAAUUGAAGAUGAGAAGAAGAAGAAGGAGAUCAAAACAUGCAUAUAGUGCCAUUCUUCUUAGUUUAGUUGAUGAAUUCCUAAGAGAUGUGUUGAGUGAAGAUAAGACUUUAGGUUUAUGGAACAAACUCAGUUCCAUAUACAUGAAGAAGUCCUUGUCAAAGACACAAAAGAAAGAUUUCAAGAACUAGAAAGGAGGCUACAAGGGAAACCAGUUUCCAAAGUCAAAGGAUGACUCAAGGGGAACUACACACAACAAGUGUUUCUAAUGUGAAAAGGAAGACCAUUUUCGAGAUGAAUGCUUGACUCUGAAAGUGAAACUUAAGAGAGAUAGUAAGAAGAACAAGGAGAAAGGAGAAGCUGGUGUUGUAGCUGUUGGCUAUGAAUCUGUAGAUGUGUUAGUGGCCUCAAAUGCAAAUUCUGGUCAUGAAUGGGUUCUUGAUUCAAGAUGCUCGUUUCAUAUGUGUCCAAUCAAAGAACUAUUCAAUGAUCCUGAAGAAAGAAAGGGGGGAAACAAUACUUCUUGGUGAUAACAAAGCAUGUCAAAUCCAUGGAAUCGGUUCAAUUGUGCUCAAAAUGUAUGAUGGAGUCAAGAGGAAUAUUCAGAAUGUUAGUGGCUGAUCUUCACGAAAAAUUGGAAUCGGGUAGGUUAGAGAGGUGAUCUAGAGGCAUAUCUUUUUGGUUGUCGAUCUUGUGAGUUUCGACAUGUAUUGGGAGGUGUUGUCUCCGUUGGGUUGAUGUUCAAGGGCUUAAUGGUUCUAACGCUAUGCAGCUCGAGAAAUAUGAAGAUUUUCCUCUUAGGCGAGGAUCAGAGAGGGUGUCGUGCAUGGUUCACGGAUGCUAGAAGAUUUUAUUUUUACUAUUGUAAUCGACUUAGUAAGCCUAUACUAAUCAUCUAUUUAAGAAAAUUUCUAUUA